UACGUAGGUGACAAGCGUUGUCCGGAUUUACUGGGCGUAAAGAGCGCGCAGGCGGUCGAUCAAGUCGAGUGUGAAAGCCCCCGGCUCAACUGGGGAGGGUCAUUCGAUACUGAUCGACUCGAAGGCAGGAGAGGGUAGUGGAAUUCCCGGUGUAGUGGUGAAAUGCGUAGAUAUCGGGAGGAACACCAGUGGCGAGGGCGACUACCUGGCCUGUUCUUGACGCUGAGGCGCGAAAGCUAGGGGAGCAAACGGG
rnacentral:rRNA from 1 species